UACAGAGGUCUCAAGCGUUGUUCGGAUUCAUUGGGCGUAAAGGGUGCGUAGGUGGCGCGGUAAGUCGGGUGUGAAAUCUCGGAGCUUAACUCCGAAACUGCAUUCGAUACUGCCGUGCUUGAGGACUGGAGAGGAGACUGGAAUUACGGUGUAGCGGUGAAAUGCGUAGAUAUCAGGAAGAACACCCGUGGCGAAGGCGGCUCUCUGGGACGGUACUGACGCUGAGACGCGAAAGCGUGGGGAGCGAACAGG
rnacentral:rRNA from 1 species